CCUGGGUUGAGGGAAGAAGGGGCAGAGCUGGGCCGGACCACGGCCGAGGGAAGGGCGAAGCCAGGGCAAGGCGAGAGGGAGGUCCGUAGCUGGUGUGUGUUAGGGCAGGGUGAGGGGGGCGUCAGGCCCGGAGGAGGAAGGGCGGCAGGGUGAGGGGCCGGGCCGGGUGAGAGGAGCUGCUGAGGGAAAGGGCUCUGCGGAGGUGGGUGAAGGAGGGUCAGGUCUGGAGGAAAGAAGGGAGCAGAAGACCGGGGCGGGGAGUGGGUGUCUCCGCUUUCAGAGUGGGGCCGAGGGGGAGCUGGAGGCAGGGCAGGGGCAGAGGGAGAACCGUGCCUGAAAGGUUGAGGGAAAGAAUUGAAGGAAAGGGGAAGGGGAAUGAGGAGGUAGCGUCUGCAGUGAAAGGAAGACCUUCACGUGAACUCGUUUCCCUCUUUGCUCCAACUCCAGCAGCUGCUGGCCCGCUGCUAGGGCAGCUGCUGGUCUGCAAGUCCCAGGCACGGCCAGGGCUGUGAUUUGUACGGGUGGAUCUGCCUCGGGCUUGGGGCAGGGUCAGCGCUGCAAAUUGCAGCUCGCUGUGUUUACACCACAGCUUGGGUGCCAGAAUGUGCAGCUCCAGACGCUGGGAAGAUUUUAUUUUUCCUCUGUUUCAGAAUGUGAACAACAAACCUGCCAGAGCAGUCACGGUCGCCAAGGGAAAAACAUUUGGCUAAGGAAGAGCAUUUGUAAAGCUGCUACCGAAGGAAGUGUAAUAAGAAACGUUUAAAAAGCCACUGCCUCGGUGAUUUUCCAGGAUAGCCUCGCUAGCAGUAAAGCGGUUUCUAGCUUUGCAGAGCUUGGAAGACCAUUCAGAUCACAUUGGAUACAACCAUUUGUACCCCAAAAAAGCUCCGGUUAUUGUAUUAGAUAGCGAAAGCGAGAUGGCCUCCCCUGGAUCGUGGUCUUUGCUGUCCUAAAACCUCUCCGUGAACCACCCGCCUGUGUCCUGACCUGGCUCUGGAGACCCAGACCCCCAGCAGCCCCUUCCCCGGGGUGUAGAAGUAUUUUUGGGAGCUCAUGAUCAGCACCACCCCCCCCCUUCCCAGGUUGUCUGGAGCAUUUUGGAGCCAAGAAGUUGCCAAAGCAAGUUCGAUUCAGCUGCUGUUCUUUGACACUGUCUGUGGUUCUCUGUAAAUCACUAACAGAUAAUAUUUUCAUAUUCUGGCUCGCUCCGUGUCCCCUGCUUUCUGAAUAAUUACCUUGUUUUGUGCGAGCCGUAAGAGGUUUUCACAGAUAAUUCAUCCAGUGCUGAAAGGCAGCCAGCUUUUGGGCUGGAGCACAUUUUCUGGCCACCUGGCAUUGCAGCACAGAGGUCUGCGCUGGAGCGCAGCUGCCUCCGGAGGGAAGUGCCGUAUCCAGGACAGCCGAGGGCAGGGCGAAAAACCAAACCCAGCUGAAAUCCCAGCCGCCUCUUCCUCGGAGAAUAAUUUAGCUUGGCAAACUCAGCCCACCCUGAAUUUCUGGAUGUGUGGACAGAUUGAUCCCGCAGAUCUGGAUGCUCUCACCCACAGAAAGGCCGUUUCACUGGAAACAAAACACCUCUCGGGAGCUGUUUGCGGCGGUGUGCUCUGUCUCUGCUCGUUCCCCGUGUCCCGGCUGGCGCUGGGUUCUGCGAGCGGGCGGGUUGGAGCCCAGCGCAGAGCCAGGAUUGCCCCAAGGUUUCCCAUCCCCGUCGCAGGGGGUGAGUUGCUCUGGGGCAGGCGGGAGGAGUGAUUAUCACUGGGCCAGCUUAUCUCAGCAACUCCCAGAGCCAAGCCACCAAAGGUGUUGGGUAAUUGCUGACAUCACUGUGCUGAGGGGCUUCAGUGAGACAAAAUCAGGCUUACAGCCUUCAUCACCCUGAUGAAGAGCACGGUGUCCUUAUCUUUAAUACAGGCUGCGAGGAGGUGAUGACUUUGCAACCAUGUGGUGAACAUCUUCUAGGAGGAAUUCUUAAAGGGGCGUCAAGAGAGCGUCAGGCAGGAUGGACGAGCUGGUUGGAGGCUCAGGAAAGCCUGCAGGGUGGCCAAACAGGCUCCCACCUCCAGCAUGAAAGCCACUGGCGGCUUGGAUGCCUCUAAGGGGAUCGAUUUGUCCAGUUUGAGCACCAGCCUCUUGGUUGGCAGAUGCCAGGAAGGGGGUGGCUGAACACGGAAGAGACCCUGAAGGUGGCAGAGGACCAUGAGAAAUACCAAGCAGAGGACAGGGCGCAGGAUUGGGAGCUGGCCGCCAAGGAUGACCUCCAGCCCUGCACUUUCAGCAUGAACUUGACCUCUGGAGACAUCUUGUACUGCUUCACCCUGCAGACCAAGAGGAAGAUGAGAUUCUCAAGGGGGCAUAUGGGAGGUAGGUGCCACAUCCUCUCAGCUUUCACUCUCCAGGCAGUGCUCGCUCCCUGUAAAGCACCACUCUCAGCUGAUAUUCCACCAUCCAGGUAUCAAAUUUGGGGAGCUGCCCACAUACCCUGCAAUUCCAGCAAUGUCCCGCUUCCAAAGGAAACCUUAAAUGCAUACCUUUAGGCCAGCUUUGCUUUCAAUAAAAAACGAGGUUCACGGUG